AAGGUAGCAUAAUAAUUUGCCUUAUAAUAGAGGGCUGGUAUGAAAGAGUUGUCACUGCUAAAGCUUUAUGUUUAAAUAAAUUUUGAAAUUGGUAUUUCCGUUAAAAAACGAAAAUACCUCAAGGGACGAUAAGACCCUAUAAAACUUUUAACUAAAAAAUUAAGUUUAAUUAUUUAAGAAGCCUGGCAAAUUAGUUGAGCUGGGGCGGCAUUUAUUUUCCUAUAAAAAAGAAAACAGAAAUAUUUGGAGUCUUAGAUCUUAAAAAAGAAAUAGAACAAGUUACUUUAGGGAUAACAGCGCAAUUCUUUAUUAUAGUCCUGAUAGAUUAAAGAGACUUGCGACCUCGAUGUUGAAUUGAGGGGCUUUUUUUGAGCAGAAACAAAUUUAAGAGGUCUGUUCGACCUUUAA
rnacentral:rRNA from 1 species